CACAGGCAAGGAAGCCGACAGGAUAGUGACUCAGGAUGAGUUGUCAGGAGCGCCAGGAGGGCGAAGACCCGGGAUUAAUGUCAGGAUGACCAACGUCUGGAGACGUUUUAACAAGGAAAAGGACAUAACAGGGACUGUUAUUGGCUAAAGGAAAGACAGGGUGCGUCGUGAGCUAACAGGGAAAGUGGAAACCCGCUAAGGGUUAUCAGUGAGGAAAA
rnacentral:sRNA from 1 species